rnacentral:rRNA from 1 species
UACGUAGGGUGCAAGCGUUAAUCGGAAUUACUGGGCGUAAAGCGUGCGCAGGCGGUGAUGUAAGACAGAUGUGAAAUCCCCGGGCUCAACCUGGGAACUGCAUUUGGAACUGGCAAGCUAGAGUAGGGUAGAGGGGUGUGGAAUUCCAGGUGUAGCGGUGAAAUGCGUAGAUAUCUGGAGGAAUACCGGUGGCGAAGGCGGCAUCCUGGACCGAGAUUGACGCUGAACGGCGAAAGCUAGGGGAGCAAACGGGAGUUAGAAACCC